rnacentral:lncRNA from 1 species
UCUCAUUUUUGAAUUUCAAAGAAGAAAUCGUCUCAGGGAUAUUUCUUUUUCUUUUUCCCCCCCUUUAUUUUUAUUAUUUUUUUUUUUUUAAGAACAAAAGUACAACAUUGCCUAAGUCCUACCUCAGCUUAAAUUUUUUUUUUUUUUUUUUUUUUACAGAUGAAUGUAAUUCUCCUCUGUGCAGGGCUUGAGCCUGUGAAGUGAUAAUUUCUAUCUACCUCAACUCUUUGCAUUUCCCUCUCUGGCAAGCCUCUUGGCUCACAUCCUCUUCCCUCCUGAAGGCCUAGGAGGCACAGGACAGCGGUCCUGCAACCUUGAGGGCACUGGAAGCAUAUGGUGGGGUGCAUGCAUUUUGUAGAUUGAGCCAAGGAAACCCAAAAACUACUAAGUAAAAAAGAGAAGUAUAAGAUGUUGGAAAGAUAGGAUUUAAAAUUCAUAAUUGUAGUGUAUUUGUGUUCUUGAGAAUACUGUGUUUAUGUGGGGUUAGGUUGUGUGUGGUUUGCUCUUUUCUUUUUUAUCGAUGCAACAGGGCUUUUCUCUGUUUACCUCAGUGUGUCUGACAUCUCAUCCCUAGGAGAUAUGGCUGUGGCUUGCUAGCCUAGAAAAGCAGACCAUUCAUAUUUUCGGGUGUCUCAUCUUUGUAUCUGGUAAAGAAGGGUGGGUGUGUGGGAGUGUGUGUGUGCACACGCGUGCAUGUUUGUGUUUCAAAGCCAUCUUUGCUUGAGGAGAAAAGCUGGACUUGACACAAGACAUCCCAAGCAAAUUUCUUCCCAGUUUGCUAAGAAACUCGAUUUAGCUCAGGACUCUAGGUUGAAAGUGUUCGCAAAGGUUACGUGUCUGUGUUUUUGUUGUUUGUUAUAAAGACUUAGGUAUAAGAAAAUAAGUUAACCUUGUUCUCAGAGAGAGAGGGGCUUUUCAGAUGUGGACCAGGGUGCCACAGAAGUGGGGGGUGCUGGAGAAGUGAGGCACCCCCACAUCAGGGACUGUUCAGGAGGGCGGGGGACCUCGUCUCUAUGUGUGAGGGUGUGGUAGGCAAAGGGAUAGCUUUGAUUUGAGAAGCACAAUGUUUUUUCCUGCUUUGGAAGUUCAGGGAAUGUAGAAGAUUGUCUGACUGGUGGGAGCACCUCACUCCCUAACCCUUGGCUCAGGUCUGUUUCUCAGGAACCUUCCCUAAGUCUGAGUGGAGGCAGACCUCAAGGUUAACACAAAGCCCCGUUCCUCCCCCAAAGGCCUUUGAAUGUAAAGGAUUUACAAACCAAACCACCCAACAGGAAGUGUAGGACACAGUAUAUGUCUUUUUUUUUUUUUAAUUUUAUUUUAUUU